GGUGAACUAUGCCUGAGC
rnacentral:siRNA from 1 species